AGUGAACGCUGGCGGCGUGCUUAACACAUGCAAGUCGAACGAGAACGGGAUAUAGCUGGCUAUAUUUGUCAGCUAAGUGGCGCACGGGUGAGUAAUGUAUAGAUAACCUGCCCUCUAGAAAGGAAUAACAGUUGGAAACGACUGGUAAUGCCCUAUAUGCCUUUAAUACAUAAGUAUGCAAGGGAAACGCUUUAGUGCUAGAGGAUGGGUCUGUAUGGUAUCAGCUUGUUGGUGAGGUAAUGGCUCACCAAGGCUAUGAGGCCUAACUGGUUUGAGAGGUUGAUCAGUCACAAUGGAACUGAGAAACGGUACAGACGCCUACGAGAGGCAGCAGUGGGGAAUAUUGCACAAUGGACGAAAGUCUGAUGCAGCAACGCCGCGUGGAGGAUGACACAUUUCGGUGCGUAAACUCCUUUUAUAUAGGAAGAUAAUGACGGUACUAUAUGAAUAAGCACCGGCUAACUCCAUGCCAGCAGCCGCAUAA
rnacentral:rRNA from 1 species